AUGAACGCUGGCGGCGUGCCUAAUACAUGCAAGUCGCGCGAACAGACGAGGAGCUUGCUCCUCUGACGUUAGCGGCGGACGGGUGAGUAACACGUGGAUAACCUACCUAUAAGACUGGGAUAACUUCGGGAAACCGGAGCUAGUACCGGAUAAUAUAUUGAACCGCAUGGUUCAAUAGUGAAAGACGGUUUUGCUGUCACUUAUAGAUGGAUCCGCGCCGCAUUAGCUAGUUGGUAAGGUAACGGCUUACCAAGGCAACGAUGCGUAGCCGACCUGAGAGGGUGAUCGGCCACACUGGAACUGAGACACGGUCCAGACUCCUACGGGAGGCAGCAGUAGGGAAUCUUCCGCAAUGGGCGAAAGCCUGACGGAGCAACGCCGCGUGAGUGAUGAAGGUCUUCGGAUCGUAAAACUCUGUUAUUAGGGAAGAACAAAUGUGUAAGUAACUAUGCACGUCUUGACGGUACCUAAUCAGAAAGCCACGGCUAACUACGUG
rnacentral:rRNA from 1 species